rnacentral:rRNA from 1 species
AGAUUGAACGCUGGCGGCAUGCUUUACACAUGCAAGUCGAACGGCAGCGCGGGGCAACCUGGCGGCGAGUGGCGAACGGGUGAGUAAUAUAUCGGAACGUACCCAAGAGUGGGGGAUAACGUAGCGAAAGUUACGCUAAUACCGCAUACGAUCCAAGGAUGAAAGCAGGGGAUGCGCUUGCGCACCUUGUGCUCCUGGAGCGGCCGAUAUCUGAUUAGCUAGUUGGUAGUGUAAAGACUACCAAGGCAUAGACGGGUAGCUGGUCUGAGAGGAUGAACAGCCACACUGGAACUGAGACACGGUCCAGACUCCUACGGG